rnacentral:rRNA from 1 species
UACGUAGGUGGCAAGCGUUGUCCGGAAUUAUUGGGCGUAAAGCGCGCGCAGGCGGUUUCUUAAGUCUGAUGUGAAAGCCCACGGCUUAACCGUGGAAGGUCAUUGGAAACUGGGAGACUUGAGUGCAGAAGAGAAGAGCGGAAUUCCACGUGUAGCGGUGAAAUGCGUAGAGAUGUGGAGGAACACCAGUGGCGAAGGCGGCUCUUUGGUCUGUAACUGACGCUGAGGCGCAGAA